AAUAAAUCUUAAUCAAUAAUUAAAUAAUAUUCAUGAUAAAACACUAAUACAAUAAUACAACAGAGCACAAAUACCUGGGGAAGAAAUGAAAAGACCCUCAGAAUUGCCUUUGCCAUGGAAAGGGAAACAGCAUCUUCUCCCCAGGGAACUGCAAAUGGAAAGAGUCAAUGGACUGUUUGAGAGGAAAGUCAGCGCACUUCAAGUGUUAGCAUCGGGAUGCUGAAAGAUAUUUGGACUCCACAAUCAUGCAAAAGCUAUAGACCCACAAAAAAUCCUACACUAAUAGCAAUGUAAAGUGACCUUGGAAUGUUGUAUAUGUUAAAAUGAUAGAAUUUCUGGUUAUGAAUCCUGAUCAGAGGAUUAGCAUUUAGGACUACAAAUCUGAAAAGAUGUCCUGGUGCUGCCAGAAAAUAGCUCUAUCAUCUUCGCAAAUCACAGCUUCUAUAAGAAUGUGAGAUAUAUUGUUGAAUUGCUAUACAAAACCUUCUAAUUUCACAUAUCUUAAAGUGUUUAGUUACAAGUAAAUACUCUGUAGUAAAACACACAGUUAUGUAAGACAUAGUACAAGCAUCACGAAAAUGCUUUACAGGCUUCUGAUAUUCAUACUUUCCAGCAGCUGGACCCAUUUAGUCUUCACAUUCUUAAGACAGCUGUGUAUUUCACUAAUUCUGCAGUUUUUGUAUGAUAUUAUUCCUUUAUGAUAAUGUGUAUUUAGAUCUAAAAUCGCAUCCUGGACAAUUACGCACUUCUGCAUUAUCCUGAGGUGGCAUAAGCGGGUAUAGCUUGGUGGACUUCAGCGGAGGUUUGUCAAUAUGCAUCUGCUUGGUAGUUGGUUGCUUGUUUUCCAAACAACAUAUAAUUUAGGAAGAUUGAAGGUGGGUUUUGUAAAUCGGUAGUAGGAUGUUACCUUUUAUUCAGAUGACAGCUAAAACAUACACACAAUAUGAGAGUGUUUAUUUAUUAUGAUGAGACAAUAUUUACUGGGUCCUAAAGAGAAUUCAACUAAAAUUGAAAAGAGACUGCUUUGUUUUGCUGCAUUCAGUUUCUGAAAGAAACAUUUUUAAAGUGAAAAGGUUUCUGUCCGUCAAGGGAAUUACAGCUUGGCUUUUCAUUGAAUGUGCAGUGAUUUACCUUGUUCCUAUCUUAGUCUAUGAUUUCAUUAACCCUUGCACGUAAGCUAUAGGUACGGGAAAAUAAUGGGGACAAUGUCUUGUCAGUCAUCA
rnacentral:lncRNA from 1 species